rnacentral:lncRNA from 1 species
GCUGGCCCCAUGAAAUAAUUGGGACACCAGGAGGGGCAGGGUCAGAGGACCUCUAAAUAGCUCUGUAGUCUUGGCCUCAGGGAGUGAUUACCUGCAAUAUGCCAGGGUACUGUCCCUGUAAACAAUGAGGCUGGAAGGCAAGAAAGGAGCAGCUCCCUGGCAUUUUGCUGCUGGAGCACGGAAGCAGUGCUGGCCAGGAGCUCACAGGGGACAUUUGGCAACGUCCAGGGACAAUUUCUGAUGGUCACAACGAAGUGGUUGCUACUAGCAUCAAGUGGGUAGAGGCCAGGGAUGGAGCUGAACACGAUACAAUGCACCAGGCGGCCCCUGCAACCAAGAACCAAAAUGGCGGUAGUCCCCAGACCCAAUGCCUAGCGCCAUGUCUGGUGAGUGAAUGCACACAGGAAGAAAGCUUUGCCAAAAUUUGCACACCUCGUUGCUGGAAGGACUAGGACUGGCAUUCAGGUCUUUGGACUCCCAAGCUAUGCUCACCUCAUCAGACCUGAUGGCUCUAAGUAGGUCAGUUUUAGGUCCUGAGCUACUUGAUCCAUCUGGCUCCCAGUUAGAGAACAACAAGAAACUAAUCACAUGUGGUGGCUGCUGCCUCCGUAAGUGCUUCCAUUUAUUCACAAGCUGAAAGACAAAAGCUUGGCCCCCCAGCAUAUGCUGGAUCAAAAGCAAGGAACAAAAAGGAUUGUAAAAGAAAGACGCUGGAAAUAGUAGCUACUUUGAUGCAGGCAGCUCUUUGAGGAAGCAGCUGAGGACUGUGCCCCCAGCAGCAAAGAGAGAGAGAAGUCACUGCC